GUCCAGCUCGGGCGCAGCCUCUGCGCUACCUUCGGACGGGGCAAAGGGGUCUUUUGGAAAGGAAAGUGGAGACACAUACAGCAUCGGCCAGAAGGCAGAGAUGUGCACGAGUAAGACUGCAGCCCCAGCCACUGCCUGAGUUAACACCAGCCCCAGCCCGACUGUAGCCAGGAAGGAGACCAUGAAUGAGAACUGUCCAGCAGAGCUCAGUUGGCCCUCAAGCUGUGAGAGUUCAUUUUUACAUACUGGCUAUUUUCAACCCGUGCUAUUUCCUGGAAAUGCAUGUUCCUGCUGUUCUAUAAUUAUGGACCCAGUCCAGGCCUUCCCCAGCAAAACAGUCUCCCAGCCACUGCUACGGACCAGUCUUUUUUUUCCCCUCUAGCAAUCUAGGAAGAAUUUUCUCUCAAACUUUUUAUCAUGUGACUACCUUUCUAAAAAUUUCUUAUAGCUAUCAUUUUCCCAGCUUGAAUUCUCCCCAUCUUCUCCAGUCCCAUGAGCCAUCUUUAAAUCGCUUACUUGGACAGGGGUUUUAAUCACUGUCAACAACCUGAAAGUCACCAUUCCAGUCUUCCCCAAAGGUCCCAGGUUAUGACUCUUACACAAAAUCUAGAUUCAAGUGCUUAUAUUUAAGUACUUAGUACUUAGUUUGUUAACCAACUUGCACAAAUGAGAGCAGGCUUGUGAGGGAAGUUCUCUGGUUUUCCAGCCACUUGGUUUCAUGCUCACAGACUACAUGCUCCUGAAAGCUUGCUCCCAAACUGACACAGGUGACUGAAAGUGUACCCUGGUGAAUGUGUAGAGGAAUUAGUAUCAAUUAGCAUUUGAGUGCUCAGGAAAAAAAAAAAAAAAACCCUGUGUUGUCACAAACAAUAUGCUGCUGUUGGCAAAGUAUCCAUAAGUGAAAAAUAGAAUAUUUUAGAGAAGUCUGUCUUUUAUUUUUAUCAACAUCUGUAAAUUUUACUAAUUUUUAAAAAUACAAUACUAUCUUGUAGUCUUGUUCUGUAUGAUCACAGA